ACUUAUUUUCUGUAUGACAGUGUAGUCUGUACAGAACUCAGCUUCAUGUAAGAAGAGUCUCUCUUGCACAAAAAUCAUGUUCUUUUUCUUCCUACUGUUAUUUCCCAAACUGGAGUAAAAAGAAAGCAAACCUCUUAACAUUAACUGAAUGUUUCUGCUGUCUCUCAACUUAUACAGGAAGUGUUUCACAGUGACGAGUUUCUUCUUGGCUGGAAAUUGUCUUUUAGAGCGUAUAUUGUCCGUCCUUUUACCGCUUUGUGACUUUUUAAAGAUAUCUCCAUUCAUAAUUCAUUUGAUUGUUUAUCUCCAGCCUUUCACUCCAAGUGUCAUACUGGGCCUGCAAUAGAGAGAGGAUGCCUUGCUGGCAUAUCUGCUUUUAUUUAGUUAGUAUCUUAUUUGGACACCACUCAAUAAUAGAUGUGUUCUGAGGAGAUGAUAAUGCGGCAAACAGCAUACUUGCACUUUCUUGCUCUGUUAAUAGAAUGGGGUGCAAUUGGUUGGACAAGGAGAAAUGUUCUGUGCCAGUAGGAAGUGGGGAAGACAGGUGUAUAUGAAAGAAGUCAUAUUUUUUGUUUUAUGCAAAUGCUUUUGGGAAUUUUAUGUAAAGAGCUGAGCUAUUGGUAUUCAUCCACAAUUAUGUUUCUACAUAAAAGGAUAAAACAACAUAAUGGAAAACUGUUGAAAUUAAUAGAUUAAUGUCAGCAGAUAAUUUGACCCAGCUGGGUUAAAACUGUAGCUACCACCCUGCAUACUUAGAACUUUCACACCUCUUUUUUGUUUUGUUUCUGAAUAUAUUUUAAUUUGCAUGACUUCAUUCAAGUCAUCAAAAUAAAUUCUGUCCUUGUUCUCCCCAAUAAAAAUAUUACUUCAUUACAGAUCUGUCUCUACGAAGCCUUGAAGAGCAACUCAGUCUCUUUAAAAUAAAAUAAAUGUAUUUUUCCAUCUCAGUUUUCAAUUUAAAAGCAUAUUAUACCCAGAAACCUUAACAAAAAAAAACCCAAAAAACAAAAACUUUGUUAACGUGAAACAACUGUAUCUUUUCUAUAUCUUGAAAUUACUUUGGAUGCCUUUUUUCAGAUGUGAAACUGAAGCUAUGUUAUGUAGCAUGCUGGACUUUUUCUUGUCUUCAAUAUCUAUAGCAAGAGAGAUAUUUAAUUAAAAAAUUUGUGUUCUCUUUUUCUUUCCACUCUGGUAACAGUGUUGUUUUGACUCUUCUAAAUUUUAAAAUGUGUUUGGGGAAGUUACGGUAUUUGUGGAUUAUAAAAGGUGAUGGAGGAAAGCACUGAAAAAUCAGUUUUCUUUGCAUGGAAAGAGAAUGAGGUCUAUAUGUGUAAACAGAAUAGAUCACAAGCAGUGGUAAUGUACUGCAGGAACACAAGAUUGGAGAACUCCACGUCAUCAGAACUAUUCCGCAUAUUCACAUGAAACACACAGUAUUUAUCUGUUUCAGAGGAAUCCACAGAAUAAUCUGUGCUUUUUCCUUUGCAUCCUGGCUGCAGAAUGCUUUCCAAAACUGUAUAAGAAAUGCAAGACUUACAGCUUAAAAACACGCUCACUCACUCACUCUUCUUCCUGUAAAAGGAAAUAUUGAGCCUAUCAUCAAUGCUGCAAGCAAUUGCAAUUGUAUAGAAUUUGUUAUUUGAAAUUUCAAGGUCAGUGUCAGGAAACUGACCCUUUUUGACAUUCCUGUGGUUUCUGCUAGCACAGAUUUCUUCCUGACCUACAUUUGGAGAUUGUCUUGUUUACAGACCAGAAUUAACAAUCAGUCAAUGAGAAAUUUUAAAAUCACAAGGAACAAUACCGCCCCCGCCUUGUAUCUAGUUGAAGUUAGUCCUUUGAUGCUGCAGAGGAAGGAGGAAGUAAAAACAAGAGCAAAAGAAACUCCCAGAAGCCAAGUUGGGCAUUAGAGUGAGAGAAGAGAAAGAGGAUCUUCGUGGCCCUGGAGGGCAAAGCAUGGAAGGCCUGAAGCAGGAGAUUAAUGUAAUUUAGAUAUGGAGAAAACAAACGUCAGCUACAAACAAUGAUUAAAUCUUCUUUAAAGCUUUCUCAUGUCCUGGGGACACUAGCAACGUUGUGCUGUAUGUUGAGAUUGAAGUUCUGAGUUCUGCUGUUUUUAUUAAAAUCUAAGAUUAAAAUUUCAUGCUUGCAACCUGAGCCAGCAUCCAAACAAUUGGAUGUAGGUAGAGAUACAGUUAUCAGUUGUUUUCCUCAUUUUUAUAGAUAAACUAAUAUAUUUGGUUUCAAUGGUUUUAAAAUUGUAUUGUGAGAUUGAUGGAUUGCUCAUUUUUGAAUGACAGUCAGAAAUAUGCAUAAAAGUGACAGAAGGUUUGGUUUCUUCCCUUCUGCUUAAUUCAUGCAGAUUUAAGCCCCAUUCAAGUUCUGUCUAAGUGAGCGUGGGUUGUACUAUCACACUCGUAUCUCUUUCAGACCAUUUAUGUGACAUUGGUAACUGAAGAGUGAAGCUUUGAAAAGAAAGCAAACCCAAACUUUGCAUUUGCAAUUCAAUUUUAUGUCCGUAUAUAGAACAGCAUGGCACUGAAUAGAAACUUCAGUUUAGGCAGAGCACAACAGUAUGAAUGGAAUUCACAGUAGGUUUUAUAGCGUAGGUGCAAAAUAGGAUAGAUUUAUUUGGGGUGCUAUAGUGAAAGGAAGAUGAAAGAGAAUAAAGUAAAUGGAGAGAAACAUGAUCUAAAAUACUGCAAGGUAAAGAUCUCUACUGUUCCAAAGCCAGUUAAAAUUGACAGUGAUCUUUAUUUAUUAUCGUGGUAAAUGAGCUUAUUUGGUCAGUCAUAAAGAUCUAGCCAUAAAGAUUCAGCAGGGUCCACGAAUGCCUUUGACGAAAUGUUUUUCCCCUUGGGCAAAGCUUGGAAUUUAUUUAAAGAGUUGUAAGAAGCCAAAUAGUUGAGUACUUUGUAAAGGACCACCUUUGCCACCUCUGAAUAUGUCCUGAAACCACUGUCCUUCUCUUGAGGGCUAUUGUCCACUCUAAAUCAAUUAUAAAAAUUUCCAAAUGCACACAUCAGUGUGCAAUUUCUGUAUUAUUUUCUUUCAAUUUCUCCUUUGUAAGCUGACAUGAAAAUUAAAGGAAAACUAGGUAAUAAGUAGUGAUGUUUCUGGGGAAGGGUGGGUGCAUGGAUGAAAAUAAAAAGUUGCUGUAUGGAGAAGAUACAAUUGCAUAAAACUAUUUAUUUUUUAAAGUUGACUUAGUGAAGAGUUAUGUUUUGAGAAUAAAUAAUAGGCAAAUUAAACUAAGUAUCUAGUGACUUCUCUCACCUCUUAAGAUGGGGUAGGGACCAAAGCAAAAAUCCCGAGUUUCCAAGUUCUAGGCUCAACUCUUUCCAUGGUCAGCAUAUUUUAUGUUUAAGGUUCUGUACCACCUUAUCUGAUUAUCUUUUCCAAGUUGCUACUUGAAGUUGCUGAUUCAGCUCAUUUUCCAGAGAUUGUCUCAGUAAUGACCUGUAGCAUCACUUUCGUGAUCUUGCUGGCAAAGUAAUAUAAUUUAUCUUUUACUGACAGAAUCUAGCAGAAAUGUCUUAUUACCAGCUAUACGUUCUGUGUGUAUGAAAACGAUACCAGAGGAGGGAAAGACAGGAAGAUAAAGAGAGGAGUUAAAAUUGUUACUCCUACUACGUAGGCUGUUUUGGGUAUCUCAGUUGCUGCGCAACACCUAUUUCUCUUCGUUGAUUGCACAGGAGCCAUGAACUCCAUAUUUCAGUUCUUUGAUUUACUCCUAAGUAAGAUGCUUGAAGAUGAUGGUGUAAAUAUUCCUUGUAGUGUUAAGAAACUUGUUAAUAUGCAUAGUGAUAGACCCACUAUAAUAUGAGGUGAGGAAGAUGAAACAUUUGACCCUAAAUGACCACAUAUGUUUAUCAGUUGCAGAAACUGAGAUAAAAUGUUUAUGCAGAAGGCCUGUGUGAUUCUUGCAGGUGAGGAAAGCAACAUUCAGCCAUAGGAAUCAGGUGCCUCAUAGGCCACUCUAAGUUGUUGUCAAGUGACUCAGCUUCUGCACCUCUACUCCCUUUUAUUUUCAUUUUAUUUAUUUUUCUAAUCUACAGUUUGACAAUCUGUUAGGCUGCCACAGUGGAUGCGUACAUUUGGGAUGGAGACUGCAAAAACCCUCCAGUCUGUACAGAGAGAUUGUACAAACCUGACAGCUUUCUAGCAGGGACAGAAGGGAGAAAAGAGAAUGAAGAUGUACACAUUGAUCAGGAAGUUACUGACAGAGGAACAAGUCAGGUUUGAAAUACAAACCUGAGGUCUUAAUAACUCUUGAUAGAUAAGGAAACAGAAACAGGAUGCUAAAACUUUCCUGUUGAUUUUCUUAAAAAUGGUUUAUUAAGAAGAAAGUCAUUAUGGAUUUUAGAAGCGCAUGUAUCUCUCUAGGUUUUUUGUUCUGUUUUGUUUUUGCCAUAUAUUCCCAUAGUAUUUUUCAAAUUUAUGUCCUUGCAGAAUUUAGGUAUAAGUCUUGAUGUCAUUGGUUAAAAACUUCCAUUGAUGUCUGAGUAUGCCUUGGUAAGAACUACAAAAAUGAUGAUUAACCGUUAGGAUUUGAUCUAGUAGUCAUGAUUUCAGAAAUAGUGCAUCUGAAGGAAGAGAACACAGAGUUUUGUGGAGGUUAAAUGAAGAGUAUGUUUUUCUUUUCAAUUUUAGACCUGUUGCAAAAGUCUUUACACAAUGGACCCUUAUUGCGCAUAGUAUGCGGUUAAGAUUUAUGUGUCAAUGACUAAACUGCAAGUAAGGACAUUUUGAACAAACGGGGUUUGCUGGGUUGUGCUGCACAUGUUCCCUCUUUGAAAUUAAUGCCUUUCAUUACUUAUGUCAUGUUUCAGUUUGGUUCAUAAAAGAAGGUUGUGGGAUUUUUAGCUGUGGAAGAAUAGUCUUUAUACAGUAUUUCAGUUUACCUUCUGUACUUUACUUGGUGAAUGGAAAGCAAUUUGCAGAAAGCAGUGGGUUUCAGAAAGAUGAAAUAAAAAUAGACAAUGAAAUGUCAUCUACUCUGUGUUGUUAUCAAGAUUCAUCAGUAUGUCCGAAUCUCAAGAUAGAUGUUUCUGGGGGUGAAGGAGUGGGGAAUGGGGUUCUGGAGUACCUGCUAGGAGUAUAUAAAUGGGAUCUAGUAUAGAUGCAACAACGCUUAGUAAGUUCCUAAAAAUUAUGUCGACAGCUGUGGAGCUCGUCCAUACUCAAUGUGUUUUUUGAAGAGAAGCCAAGGAAUUUUUAAUCAAGGAAGAUUACUGAGCAGAUUACUGUGUGCUGAAUAUUUAAAAAUAGACUUACUUUUAUUAGUAAAAACUCUUUGUUUAAGCA